rnacentral:rRNA from 1 species
GAUGAACGCUGGCGGCGUGCCUAACACAUGCAAGUCGAACGGAAUUUACAUGAAGCCUAGCGAUUGUAAAUUUAGUGGCGGACGGGUGAGUAACGCGUGGGUAACCUGCCUUGUACUGGGGGACAACAGUUGGAAACGACUGCUAAUACCGCAUAAGCGCACAGCUUCGCAUGAAGCAGUGUGAAAAACUCCGGUGGUACAAGAUGGACCCGCGUCUGAUUAGCUGGUUGGUGAGGUAACGGCCCACCAAGGCGACGAUCAGUAGCCGGCCUGAGAGGGUGAACGGCCACACUGGAACUGAGACACGGUCCAGACUCCUACGGGAGGCAGCAGUGGGGAAUCUUCCGCAAUGGGCGAAAGCCUGACGGAGCAACGCCGCGUGAGUGAUGACGGCCUC